rnacentral:rRNA from 1 species
UACGGAGGGGGCUAGCGUUGUUCGGAAUUACUGGGCGUGAAGCGCGCGUAGGCGGCUUUGUAAGUUAGAGGUGAAAGCCCGGAGCUCAACUCCGGAAUUGCCUUUAAGACUGCAUCGCUAGAAUCAUGGAGAGGUUAGUGGAAUUCCGAGUGUAGAGGUGAAAUUCGUAGAUAUUCGGAAGAACACCAGUGGCGAAGGCGACUAACUGGACAUGUAUUGACGCUGAGGUGCGAAAGCGUGGGGAGCAAACAGG